CUCCAGGCAAGAAGAGGAAGUCUCUGCUCACCUCAUACUCUUUGUUCUGGCUCCCACUGCUUUCCUGACCAGACUGCCUGGCUCAGUGCCUGCAGAAAUGAGCAGAGCUGUAUAUUCUCUCUCCCAAAAACAAGAGGAGCACAGCGGCUCAGUUGUUACUCCUUUGUAGGUCUCUGGGGAGAGUGCACUUCCAGGCUUCCUCUUACUCAAAUUACAAGGUUGCCCUUCAUUCCCAAGAGCCAAGAAAAAAGCUCAGCUUACAUGUGGUAAAAAAGAACUUGUAAAAGUUAUUUUUGAAGGGGCAGUAAAAAAGUCAGUAUUUGCAGUGGCUACCCUUGAUGUUGCUACUGUAUUUGAAACAGCUGGAGUGUAGGUCCCCUCAUUGGACCCAGGGCUUCCUCAUGUGCAGUUUAAAUGUGAAGGGAUUCAGGCAAAAGGUUUGCUCUCUUUGAACUUUCCCUGCUAUCUAGAGGCACUAAAAAAGGCAAAGGAGCCAGCUGAGUGACUGCAGCAGUUCAUCUUCCACAGUGCUGCACGGGCACUCUGCAAUGCUGUGCUGUGGCAGAUGGCAGCAGGUGGGGAGAGAACAUGGGAGCAAAAAGGGGCUUGAGUGAAGCUUUCUUAGAAGAAAUCACAGCAUCAUUCCUGGGCUCUGAAAAGGCAGUGGGAUGCCUGCCUUUCUGUAGAGGCACAGAUAUUUGCAGUGGAGGAACCAGGCCUUGUCAAGGGCUGCAAAUCUGGAUACAUGAAAUCAAGAUAACAAUGCUGAUCUGUGCUUCCUGAGAAACUGCUUCUGGGACACCUCUGCUGGUGUCUGUCGAAGUGCAGUUACACCUUCCAGCUACAGAAAGGAUCAUCUGAUUCACCCUGGAAAAUACGACUUUUCAAAAUCAUCUGUGCUAAACUCCUACUCAUUCAGCAUCUCCUAGGUGACAGUAACUGCACGUACUCCACAAUCAUUUAAAAUAAAA
rnacentral:lncRNA from 1 species